CAGGACUAUAAAGACAAAUGCCACAAAGUUCAUCUGUUAUUGGGUGACCACAGGAAGUGCCAGAGAUUCUGAGAAGCAAUUGAAAUUGAACCAUGUAACAGCCAACCUGAUCCUCUUCACUCAUGCCCCUCAGGAUCCUAGGUGUAACAUCAAUUAAGACAAAUUAACAUAAAGAAAGUUGGACUGGAAGAAACACGAUUUGUUUCAAGAAAUACCACCGGCACCAUGUUGUGAUUCAGGCCAUUGAGAAAUGUUUCAAGUCUGACUCUGAGGAAAGAGAAAAUAUAUUUACAAAUAUUUUAUGAGCUUCAAAAUUAUAAGAAGUCACCAAGCCCCUUCUUUCCACUGCUACCAUUUUCCAAGCACAACAUCACAAGGUAUAAUGAAGAGGCCGGGCUACACUAGAAACUAAACAUGGGAUUUUGCCCACUUUUCACGCAUCAAGCCUCUUUUGAAGGUUGUGCUCUAAACGAUCUCAUUCAAAGCAUAAGGAGAACAUGCAUUGGUGAAGAACAUGGGCUCUGCAAUCAGACUUCUUGGGCUCUGGCACGUACUAUCAGUGAGAUGGUGGAUAAAUCUUAGUUUCUCUUAGCUUUGCUUUACUUACUCAUAAAUUGAUGUGAAUAAAAGCACCAACUUAUAAGGUUA